rnacentral:siRNA from 1 species
ACUCCCACUUACACUUGGUGUGCA